CCCCAGUCAGGCGGGACUACCCGCUGAGU
rnacentral:rRNA from 1 species